AGGACGAACGCUGGCGGCGUGCCUAACACAUGCAAGUCGAACGAGGUCCAACCGGUAGCAAUACCGGUGAAGAUCAAGUGGCGAACGGGUGAGUAGCACGUGAGCAACCUGCCCCGAAGACCGGGACAACACCGGGAAACCGGUGCUAAUACCGGAUAUCCCCACUGAGUCGCAUGGCUCGGUGAGGAAAUGGAUUCCGCUUCGGGAGGGGCUCGCGGCCUAUCAGCUUGUUGGUGAGGUAACGGCUCACCAAGGCUUCGACGGGUAGC
rnacentral:rRNA from 1 species